AAAAGUGCCCACUAAUUUCCAAGAUGAAGCCCAAGUGAAUGGGAGAAUGUUGGAACAUAAACAGAGUGAAGUAAAGAAGAGAAGCUAAUUCUGUAGGGAAGAUGAUGCUUCUUUUAGGUUAAGAUCCAGCUGGCGAGACAUCGUGAGGAUAAGGAGAUUGCCUGACCAACUGGGAAAUAGCAGUCUAUACAGACGUCAGAGGCGCCUCUGGAGGGGAGUAUGCUGUAAUGCAGGGGAAGAGAGACUAACACAGUGACAGAGAGAAAGUUGCAGGGACAAAGGAGGCCCUGACUCCAGUUCCCAAGAUCCCCAUCAAGCCGUAUUCUGUUGGAGCCCCUCCCCAGGCCAUGAGAACUGCAUCAGAAACUUGGAUCUGAGAGUGAGGAGAAGGUCUUAGGGAAAAAACGGAUGGAAUCACAGCUGAGUUUACUCUGUGGAUGUGUUUUGUUUGGCUAAUAUGGUAUCUUAUUUUUCUUUAAAUUUAAAGGCCUUCAGGUGUGGAGUCUUCGGUUUACCACAGUCCGCAGCACCAAGUGUUAUUAAAUACAGAACAGUUUCGGUUAUUUUUGUUGGCUGCCCAGUCUUGAAGACAUUUAUGAUCCUGAUUACAAUUCCAUGGCUGGAAAUGGAGAAUGGGGAGGUGUACUCUUACUUCUUCCCAGGGCUUAUUUAGGGUGAGGCCUUUUAUGGCUGGAUCUCGGGGAAAAGGGGAAAAGGCUGAUCUGAUGCCCUAGAACUAUUUUUGUUUGUUUGUUUUGUUUUUUAAUUUUUUAAAAUCUCACCUCUAAAGCUAGUCCCAUAGACUACAUUCUCCAACACUGUCUACCUUCUUUCACACACAAGCCCCCGUUUUGCUCUGUCCUGACAGUGUUCAUGCUAAAAUGCUGAAUGCAGUUCCUUUCAAGAAUAUAUAUGUACAUGUAUAUAUUUACUGUUCUUUUGAAAAAUCGUUAACAACAAAAUAGAGCAAAAGAAAGUCUGACACUUGCACCCAAAUAACCCUGACCUUUGAGAUUUUUUCUCCAGCAAAACUAGCUCAACUGAAAAGAAAUUCGCUGGUUGAAAGUUGUAGUUUUAAGUUUAAUUUAUUCACGUGUUACUUAGUAAAUGAAAAGACAGUGUUUAUUAAUUAUGAUUUCAGAUACACAUCUUUUUUCUUAAUACAUUGUCUGUAAUCUGUAAUAUAAUGAAACCGAAAAGCAUUACUUUAAGGAAUUUCAGACCUUGACCUCAUUCUUAUUGUAACUGGCAAUGCAUUCUAUUUUCUUUUUACUGCUGGUUUCUACUGGCAAUUCUGUGGAUAGUGUGCCUAUCUGACUAUAAAGAAUCAAACACUGAAAGGAAAAAAAAGAACUUAGAACAGUUUAAGAAGAGUUUUUCUCCUUUCUUGUAAUUUCCCUGCAAAAUCAACCAAGCGCUGAGCUGUCUUAACUUCGUUUCCGGGAGGAGUGGGAGAGAGCUGGAUAUGGAUUGAAGAACAAUGUCUAAUAAAAAGAAAUGAACAGGUUUAUUGUCUAAGUAAAAAUGAAAUUUAAUAAAAAAAUGGUAUGCUUUUCGUUGUACCUGUGAAUGUUAUUUUAUAGAAAUCAGUAAGAAUUGAAAAAUGGUUAAGGUCGUAAGUUUUAUAUUAUGUGUAUUUUGCCAUAAUAAAAAAAAUUGGAAAAAAAUCAGUAAGAACUGAGGCAAGUUACGAAUUGUGAUUUGAGAGGAGAGCUUUAGUUUCUGAAGCUCACAGAGUCAGUAUGAGAAUGACUGUUCAAAGCAAGAAGCUAAUUAGCAUGUGUUCAAGUUCUUUAUUGUCAACUGCGAUUAAGUUUGGCUAUUUUCCCCCUUUAAACUAGGAUAGGUUAAUCCAAACAGCAGGAACAGCAAAGCAAAGGAAAAGAAACAUAAAAACUUGUGGCAGAGAAUAUUCUUGGAAAUUGAUACCUUCCACGGGUAUCUUGUGCAAUUUGAAAACAAGUGUUUUAAUUGUAUGAAAAUCCAUUAAACAUCCGUUAAGGAGCUGUCUCAGAAUAUUGUAUCAUUAAGUAAUAGCAGUUACUGAUUUUUCUUAGCUGCAAGUGGGAAAUGUGAAGAAGAAACUGGACUAAAGGAGACAUUUUGGAAUGACGUAGUUGGCCUGUAAAACCUGCUCUGAAGUUGUUAUAAUUCUUUCUGGCUCAUUUAUUGUACUUUUCGGGAUUUCAGUCAUGCUCGUCAGUAGAGAGAAGAAACUAAGACUAGGAGGAAGCUGGACAGGAAAAACAGGUUUCCUUCCAGGAUUAUGGUUCUUAAACUUCUUUUGGGCUACGAAUCCUUUGAAAUGUAAAUGGAAAUUCAUUUGCAUAUACCCCAAACUAUCUAUACAUAAAAUUAAUGUUGAGGGUUCAUAGGUUGUCUGAAACUCAUCCAUGAAUCAUCCAGAGUUCUGUGGACCUUUGCUUUAAAGUCUGCCUUCAAGUUUGGGUAGCUAGCAAUCUGAUGCCCAGAGUAAACUUUGACUCAAUGGUGGUCCAGUCUGGAAUAUGGUGGACAGCAGUAGGAGGAUUUAGGCAGUGCUGACUUGCAAAGCUGGGGAGGCAUCAUAAAGAAUUCUCCAGAUCAUCACAUUAUUCCAAACCAGGCUCCAGACUGCAGCUAAGAGUAGAGAGGAAAGGGCUCCAUCUGUCCAUAAAUGAGCAGUUUCAAAUAGUUAACCAGGUUCACACUCCUUAUUGAAAAGGGCAGCCCUCAUAGCAGACUAGAGUACUCAGCAAGCAAUUGAGGCAAAUCUAGCUUGGGCUAACCCAGUAAGGGUUUGGAUACUAUGUGCUACUUGGAGAACUAAGGGCUUAUGCUUGCCAAACACUAUGCCUUUAGCAGCAAACUAAAUUUACAAGCAUCAAGGAGAUUCUUUUUUGUACUUUAUGCCCUGGUUGUAGUUAUCUUAGGAAUUUCUGAGUGGAACCCUGUGGAUAAAGAGUAUCAUAGACUGUAGUUGAGGAUGGCUGAAAAUGUGAGGAAGAGUUAGUGGUACCUGUACAUUUUAUUUCUGGACAUGAACUUGGACCACAGUAUAUAGAAGGUUUGAGAGUAGCAUUUACCUUUUACACAGAAAGCCACACAUAAAGUCACUUGGUAUAGAAAUAGUAUCUUAAGCACUGCUCUUCUCCUUGGGUGAAGGGCAGAUUAGAACUCAUUAUGCCGGUUCCUAGCAGACUUUCUGUAUCAACCCAGUUCUUAAGCAUGACCUUAUUUUUUCCUUCUAAGUCAGUGAUUGAGGCUGUGCUUUAAGGAGAACAUAUUUAUUUGGUAUUUUUUCCUCCCUCUUAAUGACUUGCAUCAUCAGACUCAUCCCCCGAGCAUGGUCUGACUCAGUGUGUCAUCUGGCAUAUCCACACCUGCCACAUUUCAGCCCUGCUCUGUCAUGCAUAAAAGUCCAAGCAACAUGCUGUUUAAAUGGAGCCAGGCUGACAGUUUCCAUUCAUUCAAAUAACAUCUGUGAGAUUUGCACGGAUUAGUAUUCAGAUGACAGACAUCUAGUUUUUAUUCAAAUAAAGAGAUACGGACUGGUUCAUUUUAACCAUGAGCAGGCAGGCACUAGAAUAGAUUCACAUCUCCUCAUUGAAAUGAAUGAAUCAGUGACUGUUAUUUUACCAAAGGUAUUCCAUCUAGCCUGCCAAACCAUUUAGUCCAGGGUCCUGGUACCUUUAUCAAGAAAACAUCACUGGAUGUGGAAAUAAUACUAUAUUUCUUAUUAUUGGGAAAUUGCACUGAACUAGUUAAAAAUCUCAUUAAGUAUCUCCUCUCUUUACUGCACUGGAAGAGUCUACUUUUGAAAUUGCCAGGUUUGCCCAAACUAAUCCACAUAGCUCCCUCAUUCUUCAAGAAGAUGGAAUGUAACCGACUAUGUAGGUUAGAAUGACAGUCAUUUUUCAGCGAUUGGUUUUGGUCAGAUAACUGUUACAAAUUCUGUGACCUGAAGAAGACUGAGGAGGAUGGUGAGAGGAGAUGGUAGGGGGUCAAGAUGUAGAACACAGGGGUACCUAUGGAUUCCGUCUAUUGUGGGAAUUGAUGGCCUUAGCUCCAUGUUGGAAUACGGAUGCCUUAUAGAGAGCUACCCAUCAGCAGGUGUAGACUUAAGGGCAAUUUUCAGAGCACCAGUCAUAAAGAAGGUGGCUCUACGUAAGCUGCCUAUUUGUGUGGCGUAAGCCAGGUAGUCUUAGAGAGUGAGGAACUGCUUCUUUAUUAUUGUAAAUGCUGAAUCAUAGGCAAAACCCUAGAGUCUAGAGUUUCCUGCACUCUUUUUCCCAGGCCAUCCCCAGAAAAAAAUGGGAGGUAGAGUAGAUUAGUGUCCAAUGCCUUCCUGUUCUUUGUUUCCACCCCCAAUGCCCUCCCUCACUCAGACACUCCCUGCACCUUAGGUCUCCUUUCUUUCUUAUCUCCAUCAAAGCUGUAUCUCUUUCAAAAGAAGUCAGAAUCAUAUCUACCUUAACCUUAAAACAUAACUGACUGCUGACUUUUGCUUUGCCUGAAACAAACAAAAAACUGAACAAAAUAUAUGAAACAGUGGCUUCAAGACAUCAGAGAGUGAAGGACAGCAAUCCCUGAGAAACAGGGAACAAGUGAGGUGAGCCCUACAAUGGCCCCAACAUAUGGCAGUGAGAGACACCCAGGCCGCGGUGUGCUGGAGGGGAACCCAGGUGAAGCCUGGUGUACGAACUCUCUAAGUCAAAAAAAUGAGGACAUUUUUGGUUGUCUCUAUGACUAGGGACGCUGUAGACCUCUAGUGGACAGCAGUUGAUGGAGUAGUCCUGAAUAACAAAGAAUUUCCCCAGCCAAAUUGUGCAAGUGCCACUAAGGAGAAACACUGACAGGUGCUCUCUGCCAGAAUGCUGAGGAAGGUUAGGGAGUAUCUAAGACUGUACUGUACUGACACUGGGAUGCCAAAGAUAGAACAAUUUCUGAAAACAGGAGCAGCAUACAAUUAGUUGUUUAGCUUAAGAAUUAUUUAUGGAAGAAAAUAUUAUGACAUGGGAUGUGCUUUGACCAGUCUGAAGGCUUCAGGGAGAAUUUUCUUUGUUUAGGAUAUUGUAAAAACCCAUGAUCCAGAAGCACUCUUUCGUUAGUAAUACAUCCUGAUCUCUUUUGAAUUUUAAUUUUAUCCUGGCAUUGCCUUUUGGGAACAGGUGUCUUUAAAGAAAGAAACAUAUGGUUUGAAUGUGGAUUCAUGAACUGAGUCGCAUUCCUGCGGAUGAAAUGACACUUCAGGCAAAGUGCAGGCUGCCCACCUCAGAGCAUUCUGAUCAUUAAUUAUAAUCUGAUCACCCCAUCACGUCGUCAGCUGGUUGGGUGUCUCUCUAGGGCUCCUGGUCUCCACUUCCUUUUCACACCUGUGGGAGGCCUGCUGCUUAAAAAUCACCUGAUCGAGAAAGCUAUUUUCUUUGGAAGCUGAUCAAGUCUGGUUCAUGCGUUACCAACCACGUGCCAUCGUUCUGAAUUUGCCUCCAUUAAGAUUUCUGAUGGUGGUUGGAAAAACAUAGAAAAGGAAUUGGAGAUAGAAAAAUCUGAACUAAUCUGAAGAAUAGUAGGGGAUCUGGUAAAGAAUUUUGGGAAGAAAUCCAGGGAGUCCAUUUGCAGCUAACUACAUCAGUGUGACUUUGACCAAUGAAAUGUCAGGAGAUGAUAUGUGUUACUUCUGUUCAGAAGCUUCCAGUGUCAUCUUCCCUUCUGCCUGCCUCAGUGAUUGUGAAAACAUGUCAAGAUGGUAACUCCAUUAACUUGGUCCCUGAUUGAUCAGCAGGAGCACUGCAUGCCUGCUGAUAUGUAGCAUGAGUUAGAAAUAAACUUUAUUGUCUUAACCCAUUGUGACUUGGAGGUUGUUUGUUAUCCCAGCAUAAUCUUGUCUAUCCUGAUUGAUACCAGUUCAAAUCUCAGCUCUUCCAAUAAGUAGCUUUGUGGCUUAUAUUGAAAAUUGGCCCCAAGUAGAAGAUACGAAGUAGAAUUAUUUUAUCUCACCCCCCUUUUUAUUAAUUAAUGAGAAAAAUGAAGAAAUUGAGGCUCAAGGCCACACAACUACUCAGUGGAUGAGCAAAGACUAGGAGCCAGGCCUCUUCCCUCCCAAUCCAGUGCUUAAAUAUCAUAUUAGCAGACAUUUAGUUACCUUUCUAAUGCCAAAUAAGAAGAGUCAGAAUCUUUAUUCUCAACAUGAUUGAGGCAAGCUGCUCUUUGCUCCUCAUUUUUAGUGCUUCUGGAAGUUUAAUGGUUAAUCUAAGUCUACAUAGGAAGAGUGGGAGCAUCAGUCUAUUUAUCUCUGCAUGUUAUGACUCACUAACAUUAUUCAGACAUUUUUUUAGGUUGCACAAUUAUUAGGAUGAUUCUCAAAUAUAUGUUUCCACUUACUAUUGACAAAGUGAAGUUCCAGUGUUGUCAAGUUGUAUAACUUCAAAUCCUAGAUGUCAGGGAAUGCAUCAAAACCUAAUUCAGGAAAGACACAGGUAUUGCUUCUUGUAUCAAAUGUUGCUCAAAGCCCUUAGAUAUACUGUAAUUCUCUUUGAAGAGCUCAAAUUUCUUCCAUCUCUAAGACGACAUCUAGAGGUCAUUCUAUUUUAUCCAAAAAGCGUGCAAACUCUUGUAAAUAUGUUCUUCCUUACUAUUUAAAAUAAUAAAAAUUAGAUUAUUUUAAAUGUGUUGAUAUUUAUUUUAAUUGAUUAUUUGUACUUGAUUGUGCUGUGGUACUGUAUUUACUGCAUCAUGUUGUCUGAUCCCAGUUCAGAGUAAGAUGUGCCCAAAUUUAAGAGGUAUUAUAAAUGAAGGCUUGUUUUCAGUUAAUGAUAAACAACGUAGGUAUACUGCUUUCAAAAUUAUAAGGUUGGUAAAUGAAAUUAGAAAAGUUUGCAAAAGUUAAGAUUAUAUGUUCUAGGCAAUAUCAGGCUGAAUAUGGAGACUAGUUCAUUCAGUCAAGUAAAUAUUUAUUGAGGGCCUAUGAUCUUCCAAGCACAAUUCUUGACACUAGGAAUAGAGCUGAGAACAAAACAAAAACCUGUGGUUAUGGAAUUUGUAUAAUAGUGGGAUAAACAGGAAAUACACAUGUAAGUUAUAAUAUAUCAGUAGUGACAAAUGGUGGGAAGAUUAUAGCAGAGUAUGGGGCUAGAGAAGGGGUGUUAUUAUUAGAGAGGAUUGUCUCUUAGGAAGUGACAUUUGAGCAGGGUCUAAUAAAGUAAGGAAAUAAGCCAUGUGAUUACCUGGGGAAAAUUGUUUCAGGAAGUAGUUAAUAGUGAGUAUGAAGAUGCUGAGGUAGGAGAGUGUUUGAAACUUGCAAAGAGGCCAAUAAAGUGUCAUGAGCAAGGAGAAAAAUGUCAGGAAAUGGGAGUAAGAUGAUACCCAGAGCCAGAUAAGGUGGGCUCUAAUAGGCUUCAGUAAGGAUUUAGGAUGUUAUUCUGAAUUGGAAAACUAUUGCAGGGUGUCCAGGAGCUGAGUGAUAUGACAUAAUUUCCAUUUUCAAAAGAUUGACUCUGGCCACCAUGGGGAGAACUGACUGUUGAUUUACCAGAGCAGAAGCAGAAGAUUUUUUGGGGCACCAGGUGAUGAAUCUGGGAGAAAGAUGGAGAUUAGGUUGGAGCAAGAUAUGAAUAUUAUUGGAAUGUAGUUCUAACAGGAUUUGUUUGAUGGAUUGGAAGAAAAAUUAUGAGGAAUAAGGAGGAAUCAGGGGUGGUGCCCAGUUUUUUACCUGAGAAAUUGGAUGCUUUAUGACAAUAACUGCUGUGAUAGGGAUCUCUGCAGGAGGAAUGUUUGGCAAAGGGUAGGGAAGAGAAUCAAGGGCUCGGUUUUGGAUGUGUUAAGAUUGAAAUACUGAUUAGACAUCCUAGAACAAGUAUGAAGAUUCAGAGGAGAAGUUCAUUCUGGAGAGAUAAAUUUGGGAAUCAUCAGUAUAUAGAAUGUGUUGAAGGCCAUUGGGAUGGAUGGAAUCACCUAAGAGAAAGGGAUGCUAUAGCAUUUUAAGGUUGGGGAGAUGAAGAGGAUCCAGCAAAGGUGACUAAGAAGUAGCAGCCAUGUGGAUAAGAAAAAAAUCAGAACAUGGUGUACCAAAUUCCAAGCUUAAAAAAAGAUUUAGGAAAGGAGGGAGUGAUGAAAUGUAUCAAAUGAUGCUGAGAAUUUGAGAUAAGAGAGUGAAAGGAGAGUGGAAAGGGAUAGGGAUAGAGAUGAGGUUGGGGGCAGGCUGGGAGUGAUAUUAUGUGCUUUUAUGAUGAUAUUAAUUAUACAGAAGAGAGGGGGAAAUGACGAUGUGAUAAGGGAGAAGAGAAAAGAGAUAAUUGCAUGAGAAAAGUCCUUGAGUAGGCAGAGAUGGGACCCAGUAUGUGAGAGAAGUUGGCCCAUACAGAUCAUGGGCAGGUAAUUCACUGAGUCAGUGUGGAGGCAGAACAUACAUAGUUACAGAUGCUAGUGGGUUGGAAGAUGCAAUGGCAGGAAAAUGAAAAAGGACUCUUCUGAUUCUUUCAUUUUUUUAGCGGAAUCAGAAGGAAUGCCAUCAGCUCUGAGUAAAUGGUUUGUAUUUUUGUCUUCCUCAUCAGACUUUUUGUCAAAGUGAGAGAUCAUGUCUUCUCUAUCUUCAUAUCACCAGCAUCUGACCCAGUGCCUAGCAGACAUUAAAUACUUCAUGAGUGAUUGUGAUACUGGCUCAACACAAGGUUGACAUACAGGAAGCCAUAUUGUAGAAAAGAAACCAUAUUGUAAGUUUGAAUGACCUGUGAUUAACUAAACCAGACAUGCUCUGUAGAUUUUAUAGACCCUCUCAGCUGGUGUAAGUUGAAAACUUUGUUCUUCUGAGUGCCUUAGGAAUGUGAUGACCCCGAGGUAGAGAGUCUGUGCUGAUAGCCAUCAU